GCCCAUUCCAGGUAGACGUCCCCUGGUGGCCACGCCCCCUCCAGGUAGAUCGGAAAGAUGGCGGCCGGGGUAACACGGAAACCCAAUGCUCCUGCAUAUUGCAUACAAGGGGAGGAGACUGGUUUAAUUUUCCGAAAGAUGAUGUUUAACCUGCUGUCUGUCCAGAAUUGGUGACUUGUCGGUCCUCCCCCUGCCAGGGGUCCCAUCAGUGCAGGGCUGAGUCUGGCAGCCCUUUCCUCUUCCAACCCUCCUCACACACGAUCUUGUAAACCACAGAGAGCUGCAUGUUUACAUCCAUCACAAUCCUGGGGUAUCCAGUCUUCUCUUGAGACUUGCACCCUGAAGAAAGCAUUUUGAGGCAGGGAGAACCAUGGGAAGCUGAGCCUGCUGUUUUUGUCUGAUAGUGCUGGUGCAUUUGUUGGCUGUUUUUGCUUUGGAUUCCAUUUUAAUAAAACUUACCUAAUGUGCUGUUGCCUUGCC